rnacentral:rRNA from 1 species
GAUGAACGCUGGCGGCGUGCCUAAUACAUGCAAGUCGAGCGAACAGAUGAGGAGCUUGCUCCUCUGACGUUAGCGGCGGACGGGUGAGUAACACGUGGAUAACCUACCUAUAAGACUGGGAUAACUUCGGGAAACCGGAGCUAAUACCGGAUAAUAUCUUGAACCGCAUGGUUCAAUAGUGAAAGACGGUUUUGCUGUCACUUAUAGAUGGAUCCGCGCCGCAUUAGCUAGUUGGUAAGGUAACGGCUUACCAAGGCAACGAUGCGUAGCCAACCUGAGGGCGGGUAGGCGGCAUGAGAAGGUGAACCACGGCACGGGGUCUGAGGGAAGGCAGCGAUUGGUAAGGGUGGCAGAAGGGGGGAAGCCUGCGGAAGGAGCGGCGGGCGGAGGAAGAGGGGCCGCGGGUGGGAAAACGCUUUUAUUGGGGAAAAACUAUUUUAGAAGUAACUAAGCGCAAGUGACGGUACCUGAAGAAGAAGCCCCGGGCAACCACGGG